rnacentral:rRNA from 1 species
UUUAUCCUACGGGGGGCAGCAGUGGGGAAUAUUGCACAAUGGGGGAAACCCUGAUGCAGCGACGCCGCGUGGGCGAGGAAGUACCUCGGUAUGUAAAGCCCUAUCAGCAGGGAAGAAACAGGACAGUACCUGACUAAGAAGCCCCGGCUAACUACGUGCCAGCAGCCGCGGUAAUACGUAGGGGGCAAGCGUUAUCCGGAUUUACUGGGUGUAAAGGGAGCGUAGACGGCAGCACAAGUCUGGAGUGAAAUCCCGGGGCUUAACCCCGGAACUGCUUUG